GGGUUGUGAGGUUAAGCGACUAAGCGUACACGGUGGAUGCCCUGGCAGUCAGAGGCGAUGAAGGACGUGCUAAUCUGCGAAAAGCGUCGGUAAGGUGAUAUGAACCGUUAUAGCCGGCGAUGUCCGAAUGGGGAAACCCAGUGCAAUUCGUUGCACUAUCGUUAACUGAAUACAUAGGUUAACGAGGCGAACCGGGGGAACUGAAACAUCUAAGUACCCCGAGGAAAAGAAAUCAACCGAGAUUCCCCCAGUAGCGGCGAGCGAACGGGGAGCAGCCCAGAGUCUGAAUCAGCUUGUGUGUUAGUGGAACGGUCUGGAAAGUCCGACGGUACAGGGUGAUAGUCCCGUACACCAAAAUGCACAGGUUGUGAACUCGAAGAGUAGGGCGGGACACGUGGUAUCCUGUCUGAAUAUGGGGGGACCAUCCUCCA
rnacentral:rRNA from 1 species